UAUAAUUAUGGACAGGAAACAGCUGAAAUGA
rnacentral:piRNA from 1 species